rnacentral:lncRNA from 1 species
UUUUGUAUAAAAUGAAGAGAAAAAUAUUUUACUUUAAAACUUCUUACUUGUAAAAUAUAGUACCCUUCGUCCCAUUAUUUAUGACACGUAUUCCAUUUUGUGUUGUCCCAACCUACAUGACACGUUUCUAUUUUAGGAAAUAAUAAGGGGCCAUUUAAAGCUUAAUUAAUCCAUAAUUAACUGCCUAAAUAAAAUCAUGUUAACUAUUUUGCAUCUCUCUCUCUACUUCUGCGGUCCGCCUCUCCAUCUCUGAAUUUCCCUCUUCUUCAUCCCUCCAUCUCUAAACCCAAGCGCCGCCUAUCACCGGCUCAACGGCCUCCCUUCUCAUCCACCAUCCGCCUCCCUUCUCUCUUCAAAGUUCUCGCCCACCAUCGCCGUUGAUCUGCAGCCUCCACGCCCUCGCGCCCCCCAGAUCUGUCCGCCAUCAACCCGCAUCGCCUCCACUACCCUCACCACCCCUGCACCACCCACGCCGUCGUCGGCACCACCCACGCCAUCGCGGGUCUCAAGAACGGCGACACGAUUCCUUGCCUCCACCGCCUCUGAGUUUAGCGUCGCCGUCCCCUCCACCUCCACCUAGCGCCGCCUCAACUCUCUCUCUCUCCGUCGAAGAGCUCUAGAUCGCCGCCUUCAAUCGAUGAAAUUCUCUCACAUACAGAGCCCUAGAUCCCCAAUUUUUCCCACCGCGACCUAGCCCCUACCUCCCUCUCUCUCACUCCUUCAUCUUGCUGGACGAACAACAACGACUUCACGCUGCCGCUGUCGCCGGGAUCUCGAGAAGCUCGCGCAGGAGCGGCGCGACUUGCUCGCUACAACAAGAAGCCGAACAUUGGGAAUGAAAUUAGGGUUUGUAGAUUUGGAGGUUUGAUUUGGUUUGCUCUGUUGUUGUUCCUGUGUAUGUGUGUCGUUGUUGGAGAGGGUUAGCUAGGAUGGAAAGACGAAGUGAAUUGAAGUGAAUUGACGAAGGGGAAGGGAAGUCGCCGGCGCCAGAGACGAAGAGAAGUCAGUGGCGCCGGUGCCGGAGAUAAGAAAAUAUGAAAUUAUUUAAUUUCAGUUUGAUGUUAAUUACAAAAUGUUGUUAAUAAACAAUCCCUAAGCAUAAUCUUAAACGUGAGGACUACACAAUUUGAUUCCUUAAUUUUAUUUUCUUAAUCUCCGUGCCGAACAGUAACGUCUCAUAAAUAAUGGGACGGAGGGAGUACAUUUUAAACAAAUUACAUAAAGCUCUUGUCAUGAUUUUUUUU